CCUACGGGUGGCAGCAGUGAGGAAUAUUGGUCAAUGGACGAGAGUCUGAACCAGCCAAGUAGCGUGAAGGAUGACUGCCCUAUGGGUUGUAAACUUCUUUUAUAUGGGAAUAAAAUGUUCCAAGUGUGGGAUUUUGUAUGUACCAUAUGAAUAAGGAUCGGCUAACUCAGUGCCAGCAGCCGCGGUAAUACGGAGGAUCCGAGCGUUAUCCGGAUUUAUUGGGUUUAAAGGGAGCGUAGGUGGAUUGUUAAGUCAGUUGUGAAAGUUUGCGGCUCAACCGUAAAAUUGCAGUUGAAACUGGCAGUCUUGAGUACAGUAGAGGUGGGCGGAAUUCGUGGUGUAGCGGUGAAAUGCUUAGAUAUCACGAAGAACUCCGAUUGCGAAGGCAGUUCACUGGACUGCAACUGACACUGAGGCUCGAAAGUGUGGGUAUCAAACAGGAUUAGAUACCCUUGUAGUC
rnacentral:rRNA from 1 species